AACGAACGCUGGCGGCAUGCCUAACACAUGCAAGUCGAACGAGACCUUCGGGUCUAGUGGCGCACGGGUGCGUAACGCGUGGGAACCUGCCCUUAGGUUCGGAAUAACUCCCCGAAAGGGGUGCUAAUACCGGAUAAUGUCUUCGGACCAAAGAUUUAUCGCCUUUGGAUGGGCCCGCGUUGGAUUAGCUAGUUGGUAGGGUAAAAGCCUACCAAGGCGACGAUCCAUAGCUGGUCUGAGAGGAUGAUCAGCCACACUGGGACUGAGACACGGCCCAGACUCCUACGGGAGGAAGCAGUGGGGAAUAUUGGACAAUGGGCGAAAGCCUGAUCCAGCAAUGACGCGUGAGUGAUGAAGGCCUUAGGGUUGUAAAGAUCUUUUACCCGGGAUGAUAAUGACAGUACCGGGAGAAUAAGAUCCGGCUAACUCCGUG
rnacentral:rRNA from 1 species